AGUGAACGCUGGCGGUAGGCCUAACACAUGCAAGUCGAACGGCAGCACAGUAAGAGCUUGCUCUUACGGGUGGCGAGUGGCGGACGGGUGAGGAAUACAUCGGAAUCUACUUUUUCGUGGGGGAUAACGUAGGGAAACUUACGCUAAUACCGCAUACGACCUACGGGUGAAAGCAGGGGAUCUUCGGACCUUGCGCGAUUGAAUGAGCCGAUGUCGGAUUAGCUAGUUGGCGGGGUAAAGGCCCACCAAGGCGACGAUCCGUAGUUGGUCUGAGAGGAUGAUCAGCCACACUGGAACUGAGACACGGUCCAGACUCCUACGGGAGGCAGCAGUGGGGAAUAUUGGACAAUGGGCGCAAGCCUGAUCCAACCAUACCGCGUGGGUGAAGAAGGCCUUCGGGUUGUAAAGCCCUUUUGUUGGGAAAGAAAAGCAGCAGGUUAAUACCCCGCUGUUCUGACGGUACCCAAAGAAUAAGCACCGGCUAACUUCGUG
rnacentral:rRNA from 1 species